AUUAAAUGGGACAUCAGAUGCCCAUUUUCCACAAGUUGGUAUGAUCCUUUAGGGUCUUUAUGAAAUUGUUAUUUAAUUGAAU